ensembl:lncRNA
GAAAAAUUUUCAGGUUUUAUUUUAUUUGCUUCAGCUCUGUCUGGAGCAGUUCAGCCACGCUCUGCCCUCAGCUGGCUGUUACCGCCCAUCUAAUGAGCGCUGGAAUGGAUCCUGCAGCGCUCCCGCCCUGCGUCAGCCCCGAAUCAGGUGGCUUGGCUUAAGCUGCUGCUGAAGAUGGUCUGCAGUGAGCCAGCAGCAGAAAAGGAAGUGGUCAUACUGCUUUACCACCUCAGCCAUGUCCUCAGCUUGGGAGGGUCACAUCUUCAGCUGCCACAGCUGUUGCGUGGGUGAGGCAAUGUUUGUAGGUAGAAUUAAUUCUGUUAUUGAUAGACCUUUAUGGUUGGAACAACACUAUCUCUGAUUCAGUGAUCUUUUGCAUUCUAGUGUCAUACCCAGCUUUAGUUUGGUAUAGUUUAAUUCUCAUGGAAGGAAAAAGAAUUUCCAGUUAACCCAAGGAGGAUUAAGCUAUAGUAAAUUGUGAUUUGCAAAUAUGGGCUGAUUAAAUUUGGGCAGCUGAUAUAGCUGUCACCUUCCAGCUUCCUUCCUUGCUCCUUUCCUGGAGGUUGGGUCCUUGCCACAGGACAGCUUAAUUUGGCAUGUGGAGCUGCUCGGGAGCACCAGAGUUCACUGCCUUGCAUAGUGGAUUAGAGGGAUGCUCAUGUAGGGUUGCUUGAAGACACAGGCUUAAAAGUGAAUUCCUAUGCUGUUCACCUGUCUACAAGGUCAGAGGUUGCCACCUCCAGGAAUGGAAUGGGAGAACGCAGGAGAAGUAACUUUCUGCUGUCUGAGCAGGCUAGCUCACCCACAGGCAAUCACUUACAACUGGAAUGCUCAGGCAUUUUGUGUACUCUAACAUCCCUCAUCCUUCUGUCCACUUUUUACACUGGAAGACUUCAUAGAUCUGAGGAGCUGACAAGUGUCUUCACUAUGAGAGUGAUCUGUUGAGGAUGUAGGAGUUGGCUAGUGCACUAAAACUUUGACACCCUGCUUCCCCUGGGAUAAUGUCAUUGUGGCAGCUUCCUGCCGUGUCUUAGAACUGUCAGUUCUCUUUUUUGUGUAGGUCAGCAUGUCACUGAGAAGAUGGGGAACAGCAGGGACAGCUAAAUAUAUCCAGGAGAUGACAAACAUCUCCUCAAGAUUUAGAAACUUCUGCUUGUGAUUUGUGGAAGAAAAGAAUGAGGUCAUGAACAUGGCAAAAAGAAAGGAAGAGAAAAUGUGGAAGAAAUGAAUGGAGGAAAAGAUUCAGGGAAGGCAGAAACACAAAGAAAGUGGAAGAACAUUUAAGAGGUAAAGCUCAUGCUCACAGUAGGCAAAAUCUCUAUAGUGUCUUGAAGAUGUAGCAUUUCUGUAAACAUGCUGUAGUUGGGCAGUGCUUUUAUAUGACUUUACUUCAUAUAAAACUGUUAAACUGUCCUAGUUUCACAAAAUACACGAAUACUGCCAGAACCACAGAUAACUACAUCAGUCUUAUUUUCCCCCUGCUAUCUUUAUGCAUGCUGUAUCUUAACACUGAAUUUUGCUCUUUAGGCACUGCCUGACCAUGUCAACAGCAGGUUUUGUUUAGUUUUUUGGUGAAUGUGCCUGAUGGAACAUGAUUCACAUGUUUUCUUAGUGACAACUUGGGCUGCAAGGGACAUGGCUGUUUUUCCAAACUUGCUGUGAUUCAGUGGAAUUCAGGCAUUUUCAUAUUGAACAUCUGUGACUUGGGGAGGAUCCAUGUGUUUUCUCAAUGAAUAUGAAGGAAGCUGGCAAGGGCCUAUGCAUUUCCUUCUUGCUUCUAUGCUUGUAAUUAUCACAGUGUAUAAAUAUACAGAGACUUUCUCAGAAUGUGCCUAAGGAGAUCUGACAAGAUCUAGCUUUGCUCUGCCCCGUUUCCCUGUGUAAGGAGGCAAGUCAGAUACAGUGAAUGUGAUCUCAUGGGUUCCACUUCCUGUCCAUGCAACUACACACAUGUACUAGGACUUCUAAACUUUAGAACCUAGUUCUUUCUCUUAACCCAGAUAAGUGGCAUUGUGUAGGUCUCAAAAAUGUUGGAAAAAAAAUCCUCUUCAUCUUUUCCUCAUUGUUGCAGUGAGUUUGCUCCUUCCUUAGAGUGCUCUGGCAGUGUACAUGGGUAGCUCUUCCAUGACUUUGAAAAGAGGCAAAUGGUAAAACAAACAGCUGCCCUCUCAAGUGCCCCUUCAUUGGAGAGCACUAAGCUAUAGUAACUCCUCCUUACUGUCUUUGCCUUGAUUUUACUUGUCUGUCUUAGGAUGAAUUUCCUUUUCUCUGAACAGCUGUUAGAUUCCUGCCAGAAAGGAGAAAUUAAGUUUGUAAAGGAUCAGUGGGAACAGCAAGAGACUAGUAACCACUGAAGUAUUGUCCUUGGCUUUCAUGGAUAGAUGGAUGGUUGGUACUUAGCAUUUAUAUGAUACUGUGUAUUCUCGGUGUCAUUGAAAAAACACAUUUUCAUUCUUAGACCAUUCUGAGAU